CCUGGCUCAGGAUGAACGCUAGCGACAGGCCUAACACAUGCAAGUCGAGGGGCAACAGGUAUCAGCUUGCUGAUACGCUGGCGACCGGCGCACGGGUGAGUAACGCGUAUGCAAUCUGCCUGUAACAGGGGGAUAACCCGGAGAAAUCCGGCCUAAUACCCCAUAACGAUACCUAUCCGCAUGAAUAGGUAUCUAAAGGAUUUCCGGUUACAGAUGAGCAUGCGUUCCAUUAGCUAGUUGGCGGGGUAACAGCCCACCAAGGCCACGAUGGAUAGGGGUUCUGAGAGGAAGGUCCCCCACACUGGUACUGAGACACGGACCAGACUCCUACGGGAGGCAGCAGUGAGGAAUAUUGGUCAAUGGGCGGAAGCCUGAACCAGCCAAGUCGCGUGAAGGAAGACAGCCCUACGGGUCGUAAACUUCUUUUGUAUGCGAGUAAAAGAGGCCACGCGUGGCCUAUUGCAAGUAACAUACGAAUAAGCAUCGGCUAACUCCGUGCCAGCAGCCGCGGUAAUACGGAGGAUGCGAGCGUUAUCCGGAUUUAAUGGGGUUAAAGGGUGCGUAGGCGGCCCUAUAAGUCAGCGGUGAAAAUUUUCGGCUCAACCGGAAAAGUGCCGUUGAAACUGUAGAGCUAGAGUACACAAGAGGUAUGCGGAUGCGUGGUGUAGCGGUGAAAUGCAUAGAUAUCACGCAGAACCCCGAUUGCGAAGGCAGCAUACUGGGGUGAAACAGACGCUGAAGCACGAAAGCGUGGGUAUCGAACAGGAUUAGAUACCCUGGUAGUCCACGCCGUAAACGAUGAAUACUAACUGUUUGCGAUAUACAGUAAGCGGUACAGCGAAAGCGUUAAGUAUUCCACCUGGGGAGUACGCCGGCAACGGUGAAACUCAAAGGAAUUGACGGGGGCCCGCACAAGCGGAGGAACAUGUGGUUUAAUUCGAUGAUACGCGAGGAACCUUACCCGGGCUCAAACGCAUCUGGAAUAAAGGGGAAACCCUUUAGCUAGCAAUAGUCAGAUGCGAGGUGCUGCAUGGUUGUCGUCAGCUCGUGCCGUGAGGUGUCGGCUUAAGUGCCAUAACGAGCGCAACCCUUAUCGAUAGUUACUACCAGGUCAAGCUGAGGACUCAAUCGAGACUGCCAGCGUAAGCUGCGAGGAAGGUGGGGAUGACGUCAAAUCAGCACGGCCCUUACGUCCGGGGCGACACACGUGUUACAAUGGCAGGGACAACGAGUAGCCAAGCAGCAAUGCCGCGCCAAUCUCCAAACCCUGUCCCAGUUCGGAUCGGAGUCUGCAACUCGACUCCGUGAAGCUGGAUUCGCUAGUAAUCGCGCAUCAGCCAUGGCGCGGUGAAUACGCUCCAAAGGCUGUACACACCGCCCG
rnacentral:rRNA from 1 species